CUGAAAACAGAUGCGACUAUGACACCACCGCUGCUACUAGCCAGAGCCACCCUUCAUCUCCGGCACCACCUCCACACAACCGCCGUCUGUUCACUUGUACGGCGACCCUGCCACACCUCCACAGCUGCGGAGUCUCCUCGGCCGAUCAGAAAGACACCUUCACACGAUGACAACAAAACCUCCCUAUUAAACGCAAAACGGCAUCCGCCAAAGGACCCCAGAUGGGAGAAUGAUCCUGAUUAUUGCAAAUGGAAGGAUAAAGAAGCCGAAAUCUUUAUGGAUAUUGACCCCACAACUCUCCAAAUCAAACAUAUCCUCCACUCCGACAGCAAUAAACUCAUAUCCGCAUUGUGCAACACCAUUGGGAGGGUCAAAAUUGCUUUCACAUAUUACGGAGUAUGGAUGUAUGGAACGAGCACCUCCUAAGGACAGCGUUUCGGUACAACGUUUUCCAUAUAUCACUCUUUAUUACGACUUACCUUGUAAACUUAUUUGUAGGACUGUCAAUACAUUCAAUCGGUAAAACGCAUCGAGUGAUCCUCACGCACACCGAUGAAAGCCGAUAAAGCGCCAUCACAUAUGAACACGUAAGUUGCCAUACGCGCAUGCUCCUUUACAUAUGAGCGAGCACACAUGCGCCGGCUGGCGCAUGCUCCUCUACAUACGAGCACGUAAGUCGCCGGCAGGCGCAUGCUACUCUACAUACUAGUGAGCACACUUGCGUCGGCUGGCGCAUGCUCCUCUACAUACGAGCACGUAAGUCGCCGGCUGGCGCUUGCUCCUCUACAUACGAGCACAUAAGUCGCCGGCAGACGCAUGCUCCUCUAUAUACGAGCGAGCAACACAUGCGUCGGCUGGCGAAUGCUUCUCUACAUACGAGCGAGCACACAUGCGCCGGCUGGCGCAUGCUCCUCUACAUACGAGCACGUAAGUUGCCGGCAGAGGCAUGCUCCCCUACAUACGAGCGAGCACAUAUGCGCCGGCUGGCGCAUGCUUCUCUACAUACGAGCACGUAAGUCGCCGGCAGGUGCAUUUUCCCAUACAUACGAGCGAACACACAUGCGCCGACUGGCGCAUGCUCCUCUACAUACGCGCAAUCGUGGUAAGCUCAUGAAAGUGCACCAGUACAAAUGACAGUAACCUGCAGCCGAUCAAUGCGUUCCAGGCCCGGGACCUAUCCGCAUACGCGCAAUUGAUAAGCUUAUGAAAGCGUACCAGUACAAAUGACAUUAACCUGCAGCCGAUCAAUGCGCGCCAGACUCUACCCAACCAAUUCCCAUGAUGAAUAGUUGUAUGCUAUUCACUAUUCCAUUAUCUCUACUCACAGCUAAAGACGGACGCAACAAGCGUGGCCAACAACUUUCCCACACCCGGGCGACAGGUAAACCUAAAACUCAAUCUUCACUUCCGAGCACUCCUAACAAGUCUAGUACUCGUCUCACGCUUGCACGCGAGAACAUCACUAGACUGGGGGACAUGAUGGGGUAUGGUAUUGGACCCGACCCGAAUGACCGGACAUUUCUAUUACUUAUUGCAUUUUAUUGUAAUGUAUAUUAUUGUUGUUUACUAACCCAAAGCAAGGCCCAUCGCGAUGUAGUUUAUGGUACAAUGGGUUGGGGACUUGUAGAGAUAACCUCUAACUGGGCCUGGCCCAUUGAGGUUAGGGGAGGCCCAUGUCUCCUUUAUAAAGAGGUGUAAACCUCAUUAUUAGGGCACAAGAUAUGGAGCCGCCACACUUUUUGUAGCUGGAAAUAGGGGAUUCUUCCCCUACCGGCCAUCUUUACAUCCCCACUUUCCUCUCUUCUCCGUUGCAGAUCUAGGUUCAAGAGGAAGAACAUGGUGUGAUUCUCCAUCCUCUCAGAGAAAGCGGUUCCAAUCAUCUUGGCGAUGAUUCCGUGUUUCUUCAGGGUUUUCGGAGCUGUGGGCCCCAGCGGGAGCAGCCUCUACAUCCCAACAGAGGUAUAUGGAUGGAGAGCAACUUACAUCAACCGACCAGAAAAUGGUAGUAGAUAAGCUUCUUGCUUAUCAUCCUCACUCCGAAGACAAAAUUGGUUGUGGCAUUGAUUCUAUCAUGGUUGACCGACAUCCACAGUUUCAGAAAUUCAAGAUGUCUGUUUGUUGUUCGAACGGAUGGUGUAUGGAUUGAUUUUUCCUACCAGAAGUGCAUUCGAGCUUACAUUCGACAGAAAUACCCGUCUUAUGCAGAAAAAUUUAUCAAUCGACAUUACAAACGCAGUAGUAGUUGAUCACCCAAAUUCACUGACCGACAGACCAUUGGGUUCGAACCAUGAGACGCCGUCAUGGACUUUGGUUAGCCGACCAACAAGCCCGGUGGUGGUAGAUUCACACACAUUUUGUCAAUGGUGGUAGAUUUAGUAGUUGAAAUGGGAACAAUUUAGGGAGGAAAAUGAUUGAAGUUAAAGAUUUAAUUUUGUUGACUUGUAUUGAUGUUUGUUUGGCUUUAUGUGAUAAGUUAAUGUUUUCCUGUUUUGGGUUUUUCUAUGCAUUGGUUGGAAAUGUAAAUAAAGGAGUAUUGGACUGGUGUUUUAGGAGGCAGUUGGCCCUAAAAGACAAAUAUUUAGUGCUAUUUUUGCA